GAGGUAGCGCUGCGAGGAAUGUCCUUCACAAACAUGUCCCACAGUCCUUCAUCUGAGGGCCGUGCCUCUAUAAUGUACCCGGUUGUGGGUUUUUCUCCAGAAUCUCCCUCGGUCCAUUGUACUGUCAGCCCAGAAGCAGAUUUUGUCACUAGAAUUUCCUGAGGGGAGCCAGGAGACCCUUCUGCUGGCCCAGCUGUGACGUUGGCUUGCAGUUCAGGUCCAUAGGCAAUGGUUCGGGCUUGCACUCUGAAUAAAUAGGUCAUGCCCUUGGUAAGAUCUCGGACCUUUAGCCAGCGUUGCCAGUUCCCUUUAAU
rnacentral:lncRNA from 1 species